GACGAACGCUGGCGGCGUGCUUAACACAUGCAAGUCGAACGGAAAGGCCCUGCUUUUGUGGGGUGCUCGAGUGGCGAACGGGUGAGUAACACGUGAGUAACCUGCCCUUGACUUUGGGAUAACUUCAGGAAACUGGGGCUAAUACCGGAUAGGAGCUCCUGCUGCAUGGUGGGGGUUGGAAAGUUUCGGCGGUUGGGGAUGGACUCGCGGCUUAUCAGCUUGUUGGUGGGGUAGUGGCUUACCAAGGCUUUGACGGGUAGCCGGCCUGAGAGGGUGACCGGCCACAUUGGGACUGAGAUACGGCCCAGACUCCUACGGGAGGCAGAAGUGGGGAAUAUUGCACAAUGGGCGGAAGCCUGAUGCAGCAACGCCGCGUGCGGGAUGACGGCCUUCGGGGUGUAAACCGCUUUCGCCGGUGACGAAGCGUGAGUGACGGUAAUGGGUAAAGAAGCACCGGCUAACUACGUG
rnacentral:rRNA from 1 species